GACCUAGUGGCGGAGUGAAUCGCACCCUCACCUGUUGAACAAAACGGACAGCGAUCAUUUGAAGGGAGACCCUGGUUCGAGUCCAGGCUAGGUCA